AGAAUGACUCUGGAAGCUUUCCUUCCAUUUCUAUUUUUUGGAACAGAUUGAGAAGGAUAGGCAUUAACUCUUCUUUAAAUGAUUGGUAAAACUCCCCUGGGAAGCCAUCUGGUCCUGGACUCUUGUUUGUUGGGAGAUUUUUGAUAACCGAUUCAAUUUCUUCGCUGGUUAUG